UACGGAGGGGGCUAGCGUUGUUCGGAAUCACUGGGCGUAAAGCGCACGUAGGCGGAUAUGUCAGUCAGGGGGUGAAAUCCCGGGGGCUCAACCUCGGAACUGCCUUUGAUACAGCAUAUCUUGAGUCCGAUAGAGGUGGGUGGAAUUCCUAGUGUAGAGGUGAAAUUCGUAGAUAUUAGGAAGAACACCGGUGGCGAAGGCGGCCCACUGGAUCGGUACUGACGCUGAGGUGCGAAAGCGUGGGGAGCAAACAGG
rnacentral:rRNA from 1 species